CAAGGAAAGGAAACUAAUUUAAUAACUGUUUUGAGUGUGUGAGUAUAAAGAACUUUGCAAAUAUGUCUGUCUUCUAACAAGAUGCUGGGAGAUAUUAGCACAUAGUUAACAUGUCUCUUCUCAUCUUUAAUUUUUUUUUGUUCUGGAUUUUUUUCUCCCCCAAAUGAUAAUCUGUUUCAAGGGUGAAAUUUAAAUCAGACUUUGACAUUUUUGACCUGUGAGACUUGCUUUGCAUCUUAUGCUGUGCUGUGGUUCCCAGUCCUUUGAAGACUUGAACUAGAUAAUUGAGGAAGGUGGACUGUAGACAACUUGGAUUAGGUAACUGUAGACUCUAAUUAGGCUCUAAUUCAUAAUGGAGUCCUCUAUCCUGGUUUUGGCUGGGAUAGAGUUAAUCUUCUUAGUAGCUUGUACGUGCUGUGUUUUGGAUUUAAUAUGAGAAUAAUGUUGAUAACACACUGUUUCAGUUGUUCCAAAGUAGUGCUGACUCUAAAUCAAGGACUUUUCAGAUUCCUGUGCUCUGCCAGUGAAGAGGUCCACAGGCAACUGGGAGGGAGAAUAGCCAGGACAGCUGACCUGAACUGCCCAGAGGGAUAUUCCAUACCAUAGAACAUCGUGUUCAGUGUAUAAACUGGGGGGAGUUGGCUGGGCAGAGCCAUUUGCUGCUUGGGGAUGGUUUGGCUGUCAGUCAGCUGGUGGUGAACAAUUGUAUUGUGCAUCACUUGCUUCUCUUGGGUUUUGUUUUUUGCCCUCUGGGCAGCAGGACACACUUCUGACCAGAAAUAGGCUGGAAGCUCUAGGACAGUUCUUGCAGAGCCUUACGAGUCUUGCAGAGAGACUUGUGAAGCAUCCAGUUCUUGAAGGGCACAAGAGUUGCAGUUAGCAGUGAAUGAAUCAGUGAUAUGCUACUUCUUCACAUACAUGAACCAUAACUGUACUCCUUGCCUCCUUAUCUAUAUUUAUUAAACCAAACUAAAACCAAACCAAACAAAAAAAUCCACCUAAACAAAUCACUACAUCAUUAAUACAAAAUGAUUUUUUGAAUUUCCUGUUAAGUUUAUUUAAGAAAAAAACAAAGCAAAGUUACAGCUCUGUUAACAGUAUUUUGACAUGUUGCAUGUCAAGCACUUCCUAAUUUUCUUGUUCAUUAGGCUGAGCAUAUACCAUGCUGUAUGCACUUUAGUGUUGUCAGUAUUCAACUUGCAUCUGGAAAUAUUCUUUCCUCAUGUCUUCUAUUGCAUGCAGGGCAUCUGGUACAGAGUAGUCUCAUGUUACAGAAAAUUAGUACUCCUAAUUUUAUAUUAAAAUUGUAUAUCUGAAUGUAUAUUCAUCAGAGGAUAAAGAUUAUGGAUAUGAUGAUUGCAUCGAUGUUUGCUGACUUUGAAUGAGGACUUCAAUAUGAAAUGCUGCAGCAGUUCGUUAGGAUACAUGCCUGGAAUAAAGACAAGUACAACAGUCAUUCAAACGCUACAAAAUAUAUUUUAUUGCAGUGAGAGUAAAAAACUAUUAGCAAAGAGAAUCAAAAUCUAAAAAAGAAUACAAAAAACCUACUUUAUCUAUUGGUGUUCAUACAAUACUACGAACAGCCUCUAUUACAGUAUUAGCUAGUGAAAAAAAAAGGGAAUUAAAAGGAUACAAAAAGGGAUAUAAAAAGUUUGCUUUCUCGGUUGCUUCCUGUCAAUAAACUGUGCUUACCUGCACAGGCAGGCCAAGGCCACCAGGAUCUGCAGCGGCUGGUCAGCACCCAUCUUAGCGGGCGUCCCUGUGGAGCAACACAGUCUCGAUGGAGGGAUGAGUAUCGCUUGACCCCGCAGUCCUGACACCCCAUUUUAUCAGCUCUACGUUACACUGUGUGGGGCCAGUACGCAGUAUAAGAAUCUGACCUGUAGAUGAGAAGGCCUGGACUACCUGAAGAUGAGCAAAAUCAUUCAGAAGAGUUAUGUGACAUCUUCUCACAUCUAAUAGAUUGAAUAAACUGCCUCUGAAAUGCUUUGGCCACUCAUGACUCUAAAAACCUUUUAAUAAGCUUUCAAAUGAACUGAGACUGAUUUGGGAGCUGCCAUCUGCUGUUGUAUACUCGAAAGAUGACAUUUCUUUUCAUUCCUCAACAAAUCUAGGCAUUAUAUUGGUAAAAUUAAGAUAAAACAGUAUCUCUAUAUCUGGGGAACCUGGUCACGUAGCCUCUCAAGAAUGACUAAUUUUUGUGAAUCAGUGUAAUAUUUGGUGUGAUACAAAUAAUUGUCUUUCAUCAAAUUUGUUUUCAGUUACCUGGAUCCCUUGCAGUACUUAGUUUGCUGGGAUGAUUGUGGGAUGCUGUCAUGAUAUUUCUCAGGACAUAGUGUCCUGACCUUUUUCUGCUUGUGAGUGGAUACACUUACAGAACUUUUUGCUUCUCAAUUCUUUGGGCUAGUAUGAUCUUUCCUCCCCUUUGUUUUUAAGCUUCUGACACUGAAAAAUAUGUCAAAAUGUUGACAGGAGAGUUUGAAGAGCAAAUAGUCAAAGAGCGUGGAAGAGGAAGCUGUGGCCAGUACUGGAGUCAGACUGAGAUGGGAAUGGGAUGUGUGGGUUGCUUUUUGUGCUUUUGCCAAAUAAUAUAGGUUGCAAAUGUCUAAAACUACUGCUGGCUUUCUCUAUUAUGCUCUUAACUUCAGUGAAGUAGAUUAUAUGUGAUGUUUUCCUAUACCUGACAAAGGAAUACAUCUUUUUUAAAAGUAUAAUAUGUCUUUAAGUUUUUUGCCAUUUUAUGACUAUAAUAAAAGUUGUGAAAUGGGA